CCUACGGGGGGCAGCAGUGGGGAAUAUUGGACAAUGGGCGAAAGCCUGAUCCAGCCAUGCCGCGUGUGUGAAGAAGGCCUUCGGGUUGUAAAGCACUUUCAGUGGGGAAGAAAGCCUUGGGGCUAAUACCCUCGAGGAAGGACAUCACCCACAGAAGAAGCACCGGCUAACUCCGUGCCAGCAGCCGCGGUAAUACGGAGGGUGCGAGCGUUAAUCGGAAUUACUGGGCGUAAAGCGCGCGUAGGCGGUCUGAUAAGCCGGUUGUGAAAGCCCCGGGCUCAACCUGGGAACGGCAUCCGGAACUGUCAGGCUAGAGUGCAGGAGAGGAGGGUAGAAUUCCAGGUGUAGCGGUGAAAUGCGUAGAGAUCGGGAGGAAUACCAGUGGCGAAGGCGGCCUUCUGGACUGACACUGACGCUGAGGUGCGAAAGCGUGGGUAGCAAACAGGAUUAGAUACCCCGGUAGUC
rnacentral:rRNA from 1 species